rnacentral:rRNA from 1 species
AGAACGAACGCUGGCGGCAUGCCUAACACAUGCAAGUCGAACGAGACCUUCGGGUCUAGUGGCGCACGGGUGCGUAACGCGUGGGAAUCUGCCCUUAGGUACGGAAUAACAGUGAGAAAUUACUGCUAAUACCGUAUGAUGUCUUCGGACCAAAGAUUUAUCGCCUAGGGAUGAGCCCGCGUUGGAUUAGCUAGUUGGUGGGGUAAAGGCCUACCAAGGCGACGAUCCAUAGCUGGUCUGAGAGGAUGAUCAGCCACACUGGGACUGAGACACGGCCCAGACUCCUACGGGAGGCAGCAGUGGGGAAUAUUGGACAAUGGGCGAAAGCCUGAUCCAGCAAUGCCGCGUGAGUGAAGAAGGCCUUAGGGUUGUAAAGCUCUUUUACCGGGAAGAUAAUGACUGUACCGGGAGAAUAAGCCCCGGCUAACUCCGCGCCAGCAGCCGC